ACAGAUGUGAAUCCCCGGGCUCAACCUGGGAACUGCGUUUGUGACUGCAAGACUUGAGUGUGGCAGAGGGGGGUGGAAUUCACGUGUAGCAGUGAAAUGCGUAGAGAUGUGGAGGAACACCGAUGGCGAAGGCAGCCCCCUGGGUCAACACUGACGCUCAUGCACGAAAGCGUGGGUAGCAAACAGGAUUAGAUACCCUGGUAGUCCACGCCCUAAACGAUGCGAACUAGGUGUUGGAGAAGGAGACUUCUUUAGUACCGCAGCUAACGCGUGAAGUUCGCCGCCUGGGGAGUACGGUCGCAAGAUUAAAACUCAAAGGAAUUGACGGGGACCCGCACAAGCGGUGGAUGAUGUGGAUUAAUUCGAUGCAACGCGAAAAACCUUACCUACCCUUGACAUGCCAGGAAUUCUGCUGAGAGGUGGAAGUGCCCGAAAGGGAACCUGGACACAGGUGCUGCAUGGCUGUCGUCAGCUCGUGUCGUGAGAUGUUGGGUUAAGUCCCGCAACGAGCGCAACCCUUGUCGCUAAUUGCCAUCAUUAAGUUGGGCACUUUAGCGAGACUGCCGGUGACAAACCGGAGGAAGGUGGGGAUGACGUCAAGUCCUCAUGGCCCUUAUGGGUAGGGCUUCACACGUCAUACAAUGGUCGGUACAGAGGGUUGCCAACCCGCGAGGGGGAGCUAAUCCCAGAAAGCCGAUCGUAGUCCGGAUUGGAGUCUGCAACUCGACUCCAUGAAGUCGGAAUCGCUAGUAAUCGUGGAUCAGCAUGUCACGGUGAAUACGUUCCCGGGUCUUGUACACACCGCCCGUCACACCAUGGGAGUGGGUUUCACCAGAAGUAGGUAGCCUAACCGCAAGGAGGGCGCUUACCACGGUGGGAUUCAUGACUGGGGUGAAGUCGUAACAAGGUA
rnacentral:rRNA from 1 species